rnacentral:rRNA from 1 species
CCUACGGGAGGCAGCAGUGAGGAAUAUUGGUCAAUGGGCGCUAGCCUGAACCAGCCAAGUAGCGUGAAGGAUGACUGCCCUAUGGGUUGUAAACUUCUUUUAUCUGGGAAUAAAGUGCAGUAUGUAUACUGCUUUGAAUGUACCUUAUGAAUAAGCAUCGGCUAACUCCGUGCCAGCAGCCGCGGUAAUACGGAGGAUCCGAGCGUUAUCCGGAUUUAUUGGGUUUAAAGGGAGCGGAGGCGGGUUGUUAAGUCAGUUGUGAAAGUGUGCGGCUCAACCGUAACAUUGCAGUUGAUACUGGCAGCCUUGAGUACAGUAGAGGUAGGCGGAAUGCGUGGUGUAGCGGUGAAAUGCUUAGAUAUCACGCAGAACUCCGAUUGCGAAGGCAGCAUGCUGGACUGUAACUGACGCUGAUGCUCGAAAGUGUGGGUAUCGAACAGGAUUAGAUACCCGAGUAGUC